AUUUUGGAGAGUUUGAUCCUGGCUCAGAGUGAACGCUGGCGGCGUGGAUUAGGCAUGCAAGUCGAGCGAUACCGAGUAAUCGGUAUAGCGGCAAACGGGUGAGUAACACGUGAGUAAUCUACCUUAAAGUUCAGGAUACCUUCACGAAAGUGAAGUUAAUACUGGAUAGUACUUUGAUAUUGCAUAAUAUCAAAAUUAAAGCUUUCAAGUAAUUGAGAGCGCUAUAAGAUGAGCUCGCGGCCUAUCAGCUUGUUGGUAGGGUAAUGGCCUACCAAGGCAUUUGACGGGUAACUAGUCUGAGAGGAUGUUUAGUCACACUGGGACUGAGACACUGCCCAGACUCCUACGGGAGGCUGCAGUCGAGAAUCUUUAGCAAUGGGCGAAAGCCUGACUAUGCGACGCCGCGUGAGGGAUGAAGGUCUUCGGGUCGUAAACCUCUUUCGACCGGGAAGAAACGCUGAUUUUAAAAAUCAGAACUGACGGUACCGGAAGAAGAAGCCACGGCCAACUCCGUGCCAGCAGCCGCGGUAAUACGGAGGUGGCAAGCGUUACUCGGAUUUACUGGGUGUAAAGGGUAGGUAGGUGUCCUGAUAAGUUGGAUGUGAAAUCUCUCAGCUUAACUGAGAAAUUGCAUUCAAAACUGUCAGGAUAGAGACUGAGAGAAGAGAGUGGAAUUCUCGGUGUAAGGGUGAAAUCUGUAGAUAUCGAGAGGAACACCAAUGGCGAAAGCGUCUCUCUAGAUCAGAUCUGACACUGAGCUACGAAAGCUAAGGGAGCAAACAGGAUUAGAUACCCUGGUAGUCUUAGCUGUAAACGAUGGGCACUAGGUGUUGGCCCGUAAGGGUCGGUGCCGUAAGAUAACUCGUUAAGUGCCCCACCUGGGGACUACGGCCGCAAGGUUAAAACUCAAAGGAAUUGACGGGGGCCCGCACAAGCGGUGGAACAUGUGGUUUAAUUCGAUGCUACGCGAAAAACCUUACCAGGGUUUGACAUGUAGAAAGUAGGAACCUGAAAGGGGGACGACUCGUUAAGUCGAGAAUCUACACAGGUGUUGCAUGGCUGUCGUCAGCUCGUGCCGUGAGGUGUUAGGUUAAGUCCUGCAACGAGCGCAACCAUUAUCCUUAGUUACCACUUUGUAUUAGACGUAAGUUUAAUGCAAAGACAGUCUAAGGAGACUGCCUCGGAUAACGAGGAGGAAGGUGGUGAUGACGUCAAGUCCGUACGGCCUUUAUACCCUGGGCUACACACGUGUUACAAUGGAAUGUACAGAGCGUUGCAAAACUGCAAGGUGGAGCUAAUCGCUAAAACAUUCCCCAGUUCAGAUUGCGGUCUGCAAUUCGACCGCAUGAAGUCGGAAUCGCUAGUAAUGGCGGAUCAGCACGCCGCCGUGAAUACGUUCCCGGGCCUUGUACACAAAAUUAAGCACGCCUGGCAGUCUAUAGACUAAGAGGUUAAAAUCCUCU
rnacentral:rRNA from 1 species